rnacentral:rRNA from 1 species
GACGAACGCUGGCGGCGUGCUUAACACAUGCAAGUCGAACGGAAAGGCCCUGCUUUUGUGGGGUGCUCGAGUGGCAAACGGGUGAGUAACACGUGAGUAACCUGCCCUUGACUUUGGGAUAACUUCAGGAAACUGGGGCUAAUACCGGAUAGGAGCUCCUGCUGCAUGGUGGGGGUUGGAAAGUUUCGGCGGUUGGGGAUGGACUCGCGGCUUAUCAGCUUGUUGGUGGGGUAGUGGCUUACCAAGGCUUUGACGGGUAGCCGGCCUGAGAGGGUGACCGGCGACAUUGGGACUGAGAUACGGCCCAGACUCCUACGGGCGGCAGCAGUGGGGAAUAUUGCACAAUGGGCGGAAGCCUGAUGCAGCAACGCCGCGUGCGGGAUGACGGCCUUCGGGUUGUAAACCGCUUUCGCCUGUGACGAAGCGUGAGUGACGGUAAUGGGUAAAGAAGCACCGGCUAACUACGUG